CGCGGCCUAUCAGCUUGUUGGUGAGGUAACGGCUCACCAAGGCAUCGACGGGUAGCUGGUCUGAGAGGACGAUCAGCCACACUGGGACUGAGACACGGCCCAGACUCCUACGGGAGGCAGCAGUAGGGAAUCUUGCGCAAUGGGCGAAAGCCUGACGCAGCAACGCCGCGUGGGGGAUGAAUGCCUUCGGGUUGUAAACCCCUUUCAGCAGGGACGAAAAUGACGGUACCUACAGAAGAAGCUCCGGCCAACUACGUGCCAGCAGCCGCGGUAAUACGUAGGGAGCGAGCGUUGUCCGGAAUUAUUGGGCGUAAAGAGCUCGUAGGCGGUUCAGUAAGUCGGGUGUGAAAACUCAAGGCUCAACCUUGAGACGCCACUCGAUACUGCUGUGACUUGAGUCCGGUAGAGGAGUGUGGAAUUCCUGGUGUAGCGGUGAAAUGCGCAGAUAUCAGGAGGAACACCAGCGGCGAAGGCGGCACUCUGGGCCGGUACUGACGCUGAGGAGCGAAAGCAUGGGGAGCAAACAGGAUUAGAUACCCUGGUAGUCCAUGCCGUAAACGUUGGGCACUAGGUAUGGGAUCAUAUCAACGGAUUCCGUGCCGUAGCUAACGCAUUAAGUGCCCCGCCUGGGGAGUACGG
rnacentral:rRNA from 1 species